GGGAGGGAGUGACUAGUGACAGAGUGAGGGAGGGAGUGACUAGUGACAGAGGGAGGGAGGGAGUGACUAGUGACAGAGGGAGGGAUGGGGUGACUAGUGACAGUCACCACCUCCUUCACUCUGUCACUGUGUCACCCCCUUCCUCACUCUGUCACUGUGUCACCCCUUCCUCACUCUGUCACUAGUCACCCACUCCCUCCCUCACUCUGUCACUAGUCACCCCCUCUCACUCUUUCACUAGUCACCCCCUCUCUCACUCUGUCACCAGUCAUUCCUUCACUCUGUCACCAGUCAUCCCUUCCUUCCC
rnacentral:sRNA from 1 species